AAACAUCUCAGAGUAGCUAAAGUACUCAUUUAAAAUCAUGUGACUUCAGAGCAGCUUCAUAAAUGUUUCGAAAGCAAAGGAAAGCUGAAGUAAAAUUGUAAGCACAAUCAUGGUUUCACCUAAAGAUCACUUAACAACUGAGUUGAAUCACUAAAUGAGAAUCGCCUGUACUUUACAUUCAGGUUACAUCACUGAGCCAACUCCUUGAUAGCAGUAAUGAGAAGCAGUACCCUUGAAUGUUUCCUGAAUAUAUUAUGAAGGAGGAGUUUCUGAAAUUAGAAGAGAUUGAUGUCCAGUUUAUUUUGGAAGAACACACUCAAAUUCUGGUAGUGUUCCUUAUGAAUCAGUGGAUUCAAGAGUGGUG